GCAAACUUGGUCAUUUAGAGGAAGUAAAAGUCGUAACAAGGUUUCCGUAGGUGAACCUGCGGAAGGAUCAUUAGCGAGAGCCGGCCCCCUCGCGGGGCCCGCGUCCUCUCUCCCCUCUGUCUUCUCGACCUCCGGUUGCCUGGGCGGAGGGCUGGCCCCCGUGCCGGCCCCGCCCGCGGCCCCCUCAAUGCUAUAACGGUGACCUCUGAGCGUGGACACGAACGUCAAAACUUUCAACAACGGAUCUCUUGGCUCUGGCAUCGAUGAAGAACGCAGC
rnacentral:misc_RNA from 1 species